rnacentral:misc_RNA from 1 species
CCAAUAGCGUAUAUUAAAGUUGUUGCAGUUAAAAAGCUCGUAGUUGAAUUUCGGGGUUAGUAGGUUGGUCAUGCCUCUGGUAUGUACUGAUCUCACUGAUUCCUCCUUCCUUAUGAACCGUAAUGCCAUUAAUUUGGUGUUGCGGGGAAUUUGGACUGUUACUUUGAAAAAAUUAGAGUGUUUAAAGCAGGCUAACGCUUGAAUACAUUAGCAUGGAAUAAUGAAAUAGGACGUUCGAUCUUAUUUUGUUGGUUUCUAGGAUUGACGUAAUGAUUAAUAGGGAUAGUUGGGGGCAUUAGUAUUCAAUUGUCAGAGGUGAAAUUCUUGGAUUUAUUGAAGACUAACUACUGCGAAAGCAUUUGCCAAGGAUGUUUUCAUUAAUCAAGAACGAAAGUUAGGGGAUCGAAGACGAUCAGAUACCGUCGUAGUCUUAACCAUAAACUAUGCCGACUAGGGAUCGGAUGAUGUUAAUUUUUUAAUGACUCAUUCGGCGCCUUACGGGAAACCAAAGUGUUUGGGUC